GACGAACGCUGGCGGCGUGCUUAACACAUGCAAGUCGAGCGAGGUCCAUCCAGUGGCAACACUGGGGAAGACCUAGCGGCGAACGGGUGAGUAACACGUGAGCAACCUGCCCCGAAGACUGGGAUAACACCGGGAAACCGGUGCUAAUACCGGAUGCCCUCCUCUGGUCGCAUGGCCUAGGGAGGAAAGGACUGUAUCUAAUAAAUGCAGCUGCUUCGGGAGGGGCUCGCGGGCUAUCAGCUUGUUGGUGAGGUAACGGCUCACCAAGGCGACGACGGCUAGCUGGUCUGAGAGGACGACCAGCCACACUGGGACUGAGAC
rnacentral:rRNA from 1 species